UAAAACUGAUGGUCCUUGCCCUGAUCAUAAUCUACAUCUUGUUUUUCUUUGCUGAGAAAACAGUUUUAAAAAAUAAGCAUAAUAUCAAAGUUUUCACGAUAAAAUAAGCAUAAUCAACUACUGAAAAAUCGGUCGUUAUCGAGUUCAUAUGUGUUUGCCGAGUUCAACAACGCAGGGUCACGGUGAACACCAGUUUGCCAAUAGAAGAGCUCCGCAGAGACACCAGUUAGCCUCAAAUGUACGUCAUAAUAUAGCCUCAAGUGGACUUUUUUUUUUAACAAAGUCGUUCAACUUGUAUGACGCUCAUUUCCAAUUGAGCGUGAAAUGAAAGCCCAUGUGUUCUAGAUAUUCACCUGCUCCCUGGAACCGGUGGCAUCAAUCUAGGGCACUAUCCUCACAUAUUUGCCACUUGACAUGAAAAGGUCCACAUGAUUUAUUAUUCCUGCAAACAGAACAUAUUAGCAAGAGAAGAUAAGAUGGGAGCAAAAUAAACACCUCUACCGAAAUAGCUAUUGCAAUCUAUUAUCCCCGUGCCUUUGCAGAUGGUGCAUAGAGGAUCAGGUUUUUUUUUUUUUUGAGGAUCAGGUCGUUUUGAUCUUUCUCUCCUAACAUUAGACUGCAUCAUGGUUACAACUAAGAUAUCAGAAUACUGGUCAAUAAACAGUGUUCACUCGUUUAACAACUAACAAGCUUCCCGAAUGCACCCUGUCACAGUCAGGCAUCAGAAACAGAAACAAUCUGGUUUGAAGCCGUAUUUAUCAACAUGACAAGUUACAUGCACAUAUUUGGCUAGUUGCUUAAAGAGAAAUCAAGUACACUGAAAGCCCUCUGUCACUACCACCGAACAUGGUUGCCAGUUUGAUGAAUACAGCGCGGUUUUGUGGCCCUGUGUUACAGGUUUUUCUUCAGCUAAUUCUAAGGAUCUGCCGUUGCACUUUGAUGCUGAAAAACUAGAUCAGCAUUGACAACUUGCUGCAGGUUCUUCAUCAAUCACGAUGAAUUUCCAUAGCUCAAAAGAUCCAUGAGAUGGGGCCUUGUACACAUAUUUUUUAUGUUUGAUUCAUCAUCUAGAUUCUACCCAGAAUAUUUAAAUGAUGGGGUCAAACUCACCAAUGCAAAAUGGCAUAUUUGUUCCCAAUGGAGAACACAUUCUGAAAAGGAAAUUACUGGAUAGAGGAACCAGCUUAGCAUGUCAUCCUAUGGCUCUUAUAUACUCCUACGUACUUUGGACAAAGCAUUGGCUCAUCAACUCAUCACAAUAACUGUAUUGCCAAUUUAAGAGUUUAUGGUAGAAACUGCUAGGAGAUGUUUUUCCCUAUUUACCGGACGCUGUGCCUUAAUUAUGUAAUCUUCAACUUUUUGGCUCCUCUAUACCUAUACCCAACAACCAAGCUCUAGUCUAUUCUAUCUUCAGUAUUUGAUAUCUGUAACCCCCUGGUUGGAUUUUUUUUUUGGAUCCUCAGGCAAUAAAUAGCUUGCUGAAGCUGUUUCUAAGAAGAAAAUGUUUUGUUCUUUCUCAACUAAGGAUGGAGUGGUUAUUCUGUUUCGAGAUUUCAGAAUUUUCCAGGCUAAGCGUGUGUAGAAAGGGCGUUCAUGGGUCCUAAGCCUUUGUUUAUAACCACAGAUAGACUUGUUAUGAGUUAUGGAAAGACAAGAAACAGGCAUCCAAAAUCCAAUUAAAUAUUACUCAAUAUUAAACUUUGGCUAGAAUAUACUAGGUCCUAUUACAUCAUAGUUGAUUAAAAUAAUAUUCCAUAAACAAACACAACAAAACAACAAAGAGUGCCACAACUAGAUCAGACAUCUAUAACACGUUAGCCUUUUGGUGUAGGGCAUUUAACAACCUAAUAUAUGUAAAUCGCGUGAAAUCCCAAACAUAGUCUGAUUAAGUGGGCCUAAAUUGUCCAAACUGAAUGUUGUUCAGUUGUAUAGCAGCAAAUAAAAUUACCCGUAGUAAUCUCCAAGGCACUGAUUAGUGAAGUUAGAAGGGUGUCAAGGUAUUUUGGACACUAAACAGAUCGCCGCAAACUAACUGCCAUUCAGUUCAACAAGCAGAAAACAUCUACUCCCUCCGUCCGAAAAUACUUGUCACCAAAAUGGAUAAAAGGAGAUGUAUCUACAACUAAAAUACAUCUAGAUACAUCCCCUUUUAUCCAUUUUGAUGACAAGUAUUUCCGGACGGAGGGAGUAUAUGCUCACGCUGCAGUUUGCUGCUUGGGUGUGUGUUCAUCUCACCUCGUGUGUACACUUGUCUGACACUGGCAAUAAAGCGCUGUGUGCACCGGGGUGAUUGAAGAUGAAAUCCUUUCCUGAAAAUUCCUGCUCAAACCCACCUAGAUAGUUGUCAAACUGACAGACAUGUCUAGCCCUACUGUCUGCUUUAUCAGCCACGGCAUCGCAGACUGGGUGCAGCGCAGCAACAUGGACCAAGUGAAUCAACUUGCGGUGAGACGCACAGCUGCAGCGGCAACUCUUUUGUAGCAGCAGCACUGACCAAGAGAGAAAUGCGGCCUCGGCUGUUCUGGGCCUGGUUCGUCACAUGUAUAGCAGAGC
rnacentral:lncRNA from 1 species